GACGAACGCUGGCGGCGUGCUUAACACAUGCAAGUCGAACGGAAAGGCCCUGCUUUUGUGGGGUGCUCGAGUGGCGAACGGGGGAGUAACACGUGAGUAACCUGCCCUUGACUUUGGGAUAACUUCAGGCCACUUGGGCUAAUACCGGAUAGGAGCUCCUGCUGCAUGGUGGGGGUUGGAAAGUUUCGGCGGUUGGGGAUGGACUCGCCGCGUAUCAGCUUGUUGGUGGGGUAGUGGCUUAGCAAGGCCUUGACCGGUAGCCGGGCUGAGAGGGUCAGCGGACCCACUGGACCUGAGAUACGGCCCAGACCACUACGGGACGCAGCGGUGGAGAAUGUUGCACAAUGGGCGGAAGCCUGAUGCAGCAAAGCCGUGUGCGGGAUGAGGGCCUUCGGGUUGUAAACCGAUUUCGCCUGUGACGAAGUGUGAGUGACGGUAAUGGGUAAAGAAGCACCGGCUAACUACGUG
rnacentral:rRNA from 1 species